AUUGAACGCUGGCGGCAGGCCUAACACAUGCAAGUCGAACGAGUGGCGGACGGGUGAGUAAUGUCUGGGAAACUGCCUGAUGGAGGGGGAUAACUACUGGAAACGGUAGCUAAUACCGCAUACCAUCGGAUGUGCCCAGAUGGGAUUAGCUAGUAGGUGGGGUAACGGCUCACCUAGGCGACGAUCCCUAGCUGGUCUGAGAGGAUGACCGGCCACCCGGGAACGGAGACACGGCCCAGACGCCUACGGGAGGCAGCAGUGGGGAAUAUGGCACAAUGGGGGAAAGCCUGAUGCAGCAAUGCCGCGUGGAUGAAGAAGGCCGUCGGGGUGUAAAGUACUGUCAGCGGGGAGGCGUUACCCGCAGAAGAAGCACCGGCUAACGCCGUGCCAGCCGCCGCGGUAAUUC
rnacentral:rRNA from 1 species